rnacentral:rRNA from 1 species
GACCUCAGGUCAGGUGAG